AUUGAACGCUGGCGGCAGGCCUAACACAUGCAAGUCGAGCGGUAGAGAGGUGCUUGCAUCUCUUGAGAGCGGCGGACGGGUGAGUAAUGCCUAGGAAUCUGCCUAGUGGUGGGGGAUAACGUUCGGAAACGGACGCUAAUACCGCAUACGUCCUACGGGAGAAAGCGGGGGAUCUUCGGACCUCGCGCCAUUAGAUGAGCCUAGGUCGGAUUAGCUAGUUGGUGAGGUAAUGGCUCACCAAGGCGACGAUCCGUAACUGGUCUGAGAGGACGACCAGCCACACUGGAACUGAGACACGGUCCAGACUCCUACGGGAGGCAGCAGUGGGGAAUUUUGGACAAUGGACGCAAGUCUGAUCCAGCCAUUCCGCGUGCAGGAUGAAGGCCCUCGGGUUGUAAACUGCUUUGUACGGAACGAAAGGUUUGUCUUAAUACGAUGAGCUCAUGACGGUACCGUAAGAAUAAGACACCGGCUAACUACGUGCCAGCAGCC
rnacentral:rRNA from 1 species